AGCAGCCGCGGUAAUUCCAGCUCCAAUAGCGUAUAUUAAAGUUGUUGCAGUUAAAAAGCUCGUAGUUGAAUUUCGGGAUUAGUAGAUUGGUUAUGCCUCCGGUAUGUACUGGUCUUACUGGUUCCUCCUUCCUGAUGAACCGUAAUGCCAUUAAUUUGGUGUUGCGGGGAGACUGGACUGUUACUUUGAAAAAAUUAGAGUGUUUAAAGCAGGCUAACGCUUGAAUACAUUAGCAUGGAAUAAUGAAAUAGGACGUUCGAUCCUAUUUUGUUGGUUUCUAGGAUUGACGUAAUGAUUAAUAGGGAUAGUUGGGGGCAUUAGUAUUCGAUUGUCAGAGGUGAAAUUCUUGGAUUUAUUGAAGACUAACUACUGCGAAAGCAUUUGCCAAGGAUGUUUUCAUUAAUCAAGAACGAAAGUUAGGGGAUCGAAGACGAUCAGAUACCGUCGUAGUCUUGACCAUAAACUAUGCCGACUAGGGAUCGGAUGAUGUUAAUUUUUUAAUGACUCA
rnacentral:rRNA from 1 species